rnacentral:rRNA from 1 species
UACGGGGGGGGCAAGCGUUGCUCGGAAUUACUGGGCGUAAAGGGCUCGUAGGCGGCCAACUAAGUCGGACGUGAAAUCCCUCGGCUCAACCGGGGAACUGCGUCCGAUACUGGAUGGCUUGAGUUCGGGAGAGGGAUGCGGAAUUCCAGGUGUAGCGGUGAAAUGCGUAGAUAUCUGGAGGAACACCGGUGGCGAAGGCGGCAUCCUGGACCGACACUGACGCUGAGGAGCGAAAGCCAGGGGAGCAAACGGG